GGAUAAAAGGCUGGGCUGGGGGACAAGGUGAGCAGAUGCUGGCAGCCUUCUGAAGUGACAGGGUGUUGCUCUGUGUGGGCAGACUCCAGAGGCCUUCUGAUGAGUCAUGAAAUCACAGAUGUCUAUGGUGCACUGCCAUGUGUGAGACUCCCUCUGACUACAGCCCACACAGGAUCUGGAGAAGAUCCUACCUACAGCUGCCAGCCUGGGCAGGUUGAAUUUUGCAACCCCCAGCACUCCUUCAGAACUUUUAGUCCUGCCUUUGGCAAGACUUCUGAGCUGUGACUCUGCUGUCCACCUUUAAAACUGGGACAAGGAUGCUCUUGAGGUUGCAUUAAGAGUAGAGACAUUCAGAAAAUUCCAGCUGAAACUGGAGCCCAUUUCAGACAGUGCUCACUGUCUUUUGUGGAAAGUUAAGCACAAAAAUCAGACGUAGGCACAGUGGUCAAUAGAAGAUGUGAUCAGGCUCUGCUAUAAUCUCUGUAAGGAAGAUGAUGCUGUUCUCCAGGCUUCUUAUUUCAUAUCAUCCUUUUGAUCCCACUUCCUCCUAAUAAUGUGUUUUGUUAGCUAGCAGUGCUAAUUAUUAUGGCAUAAAGUUGAAUGACCCAAACCAAGGAGUUCAAGUGCAGCUUGAUGGCAGAAAAUAAACAAGAAAGCAUGGCAGCACAACUGAAAAGGCAGUGGGCGGCUCUUCAAAAGUAUUUUUAAAACUGAUAUUGCCAUGCUGCAUUCAUUCAGCAACUUAAAGGACAAUCCUCUUCAGCCAAAUAUUAUUCUGGCAGGAAAACUGAAGGAGUAAGUUAAUAAAUCUAGCAGUGCCUUUUGAAGAAUAUUUGCUAACACUCAUGUCUCGUCCGUACACCACUCUCUCGAUUUAUACUCCUGGCUUCUGUUUGUCCCACAGAAUGAACAGUAGGGUUAAAAGCAGUAGCAGGCCAGUAGUCAGAACCUGGUACAGCACCAGGAUGAUGCGAGAUGCCAGCUCCCACACCUGCAGGAAGAUGCCCUGCUCAGCUGCUGGCAGCCCAUCAAAGCUGUGUCCCUUCUUUUGUGUGGCUGUGGCAGCCCUGAAGCACACACGGCGCAAAACCCACCGUGCCCUGAUCCCUCCUGUGCCCUGAUCCCUCCUGUGCCCUUCAGCACGGUCACCACAUGGUUCUGCAUCCAUGCAGAUGUAGCUGUCUCAUUGUGUCAUUUACUCGUGUCGUGUUUGAUACAUCCAAAUUUGUCAAAUGCCAGCCGCUGCCUUUGGAGUCAUCCAAGGACUCGGACUCGAGCUUAUGCCUGAGUGUGUGACAAAUCAAGCAGCAGAGAUGGUGAGGGCUCGUU